CUCAGUCUCAGUCCGCCGCCAGGUGUCACUGCGGUCGCAAGCUGACGAGCCAGACGCGUUGUUGAGUCGCCGAAGGUUUUGUUGGUGAAGUUGAAGUCUUCGCCUCGUCACCGUCACCUGCACUCGUUUAAAACCGAUCCCGCAUCGCUCCCCUCGCCCUCCCUUCGAGCGCGAUGGGAUCUGUAACACCUUCAACCAUGACAGUCGAAGGAGAGAAACUGACGCUGCUGUCGCUGCCGGACCCGCCGCUGCUCAGGGUGCUCUCCCUCUUGCCCGUCGAGGCCCUGGGCGCGGCCGCGCGCGCUUGCUCGCGGCUUGGCGCGCUGACGCGGGAGCACCCGUCGCUGUGGCCGGGGCGGGGCGAGCUGGUCGAGUUCUGGGAGUACGAGGACCUCCUGGACCUGGUGCGGGUCGCGCCGCGCGUCGCCAUCCUGAGGCUGUUCUCGGUCGACGAGAUCGACGAGCAGAAUGAACCUUACGCGUCCGCGCGCUUCAACUACCGCGACAGCAAGCUGACGGUGGGCACCGAGCACGACGUCGCCAGCCUCAUCCUGGAGCUGGGGCCCAGCCUCAAGCACUUCGUCAUGACCAAGUACCGGGGCGUCUCCCCGCUCGCCAGCCUGAGGGAGGUCGGCAGCCUGGAGACGCUGUACGUCCGGCUGGUGGACGGCGGCGGCGACCUCGACUGGCCGCAGGACGCGGUGCUGCCCAAGCUGCACUCCGUGCAGCUGCACUGCGAGGACGACCACGUCCCGAGCGGAGCCACCCUGGACGCACUCCGCGCGCUGCUGCAGGCGCACAGCGGGCAGCUGCGCUUCGUGUCGCUGGGCUCGCCGCAACUGCUGCCGCUCCUGGAAGCGUGCCGCGGCCAGCUGAGGCGGCUGACGGUGGCAGCGGCCCCGGGGGUGGCGGCGGGUCUGCGCUGCGUGCAAGGGCUCGAGGAGCUCAGGAUCAUCCUGGACCACGACCGACGGGAGAAGGAGGUGGACGACCUGCUGCGGACCUGGCCCGGCUGCCCGCUCGUGCGCGUGGAGCUCGUGCACUGCGGGGACGCGACGCUGGGCGCGCUGGGCGCGGGCGCGCUCGCGGGCGUGCGCCACCUCGUCCUGGAGUCCCCCUACAGGCGCCUGCACGCCCUGGGCGCGGCGCUGGCCGGCCUGCCCGCCCUGUGCUGCCUGGACCUGCGCGCCGCGCCCUCGCCCGAGGUGCUCCGCGACGUGGCCGCCGCCGACAUCCCCGCCCUGCAGCUGCUCAUCGUCACGAGCUGCGACGCCUCCAGUUAGGUCGCCCACCUGUUUGGUUUUGCCUUACGCACCGACCCUGCCCCUGUGAGGAGAUAUUAUUAUUGCUGGAGUAUGGCGCAGACGACGGAUGCCGCGUCCGUGGAGGACGACGGGCUGAAUGCGGUGGGGCGAACAACGCCACCGAGAACACGGCGUCAGAGUGUAGUGGACGCCGUCGACAUACGGAGGACGCCGUCGUCAAUAAUCAAUCCCUAGGCGACGACGACGAAGAGAACAUCGUCGACGCGCUGAGGAGGACCACGCGGAGGGAGGCCAUCGUCGGAGAGGUUGUCGCAGACGAGAUGGAGCGAAAUACGCCGCUGUUAAAAGAUCAGCGAUCGCGCUCUCCGCGUGUGAGCCGCGCGGUGGUCUGCUUGGGUAAUGACUCGGCGGGACUCCCCGUGACUGCAGUGAUGGGCCUGGCCACCCAUCCGUCCAUCCAUCAACGAGACGGAACAGUGAACAGUGUGGUAUUUUCACGGUUUUCAGCUCGAUUUCUA